UACGUAGGGUGCGAGCGUUGUCCGGAUUUAUUGGGCGUAAAGAGCUCGUAGGCGGCUUGUUGCGUCAGCUGUGAAAAACCCGCAGCUCAACUGUGGGCUUGCAGCUGAUACGGGCAGGCUUGAGUUCGGUAGGGGAGACUGGAAUACUUGGUGUAGCAGUGAAAUGCGUAGAUAUCAAGUGGAACACCAGUGGCGAAGGCGAGUCUCUGGACAUUUCCUGACGCUGAGGCACGAAAGCCAGGGGAGCAAACGGG
rnacentral:rRNA from 1 species